rnacentral:lncRNA from 1 species
AGCCUCAGAGGUGAAGACCCACAGCCUGCUGAAGGUCAAGAUGGACAGCAAGCAGCUGUGGGCACAGCAGUCACAGCCCACUCAAGAGCAUAGGCAGCCCUUUCCCCCUGGGGGCCAGUCUAGGACCAGGGGCCAACCGGGUGCCCAGAGCAGUAACCAGCACGGAUUGCAAACGCAGUACUGGGUAAGUAAGAGGAGGCCACCUCUGGAAACCCGGACUUUGCGGGGGCUAGUUGGGGAGGGGAUCAGGCAGGGAAUACAGGGGCCUGAAUGGAGACAGAGGGGCAGUAUGCUCUUUCCCCACCAUCCUGUACCCUUUUUGCCUCUCUAUGCCGGGCAGAGUGGAGGCCCACCCGAGGUCGGGAAGAUGUCCAGUGCCCCUCACUCCUGGCCAAGAGAGUAUCUUGAAUUGGAGGGAGAACAAGCUUCCAGGGCAGGGAUGUGCUUGGUUCCCACAGUAGUGAGAGAGACAGACAGAUCCAGCUGUGCCUGCCCAUGGGCAUUCCCUGAGCCGAGGAAUCCAGACUACCUGUGUGGUUCCGCUUAGGGAAGGUUCAAAGCCAGGCCAGACAGGUCCAUACUUCUGUAAGACAGGAGCUCAAGGGCCUCCCAGGCUGCCAGGUGCUGGUCCUGCAGGCAGACAGUGCAGGCAGCCUUUUGAGUCAUGCAUUUGGGUCUGUGUGUGUCCAGCACGUGUGUCCACUGAAGUCAAGGGGGGGAGUAAGAAGGCUCUCUGAGCUGCCUGCAUGACUGCUCUGUGCCCUCCUGGGUACUUCCUUAUGUGGGACCCAGUACUGGGGCCACUGGGGUGAGGGACCAGCAAGACCCUUUAGCUACUGAGGGACUUGCCUUCUGAUAGGUGGUAUAGCCAGUAGGUACACAGGAGGAGUGGGCCUGGGCUAGCUUUGCACAAACCCCAGGGCCUUGCGGCAGAGAGAGCAGGGACAGGAGGAGACACUGCAGUGUCUUUCACACCUGGGUCCUUCCAGGGUUGCUCCUGUGCAAAGUUCCUUGGCCUCUCCCUUGCUUCUGACUGUGGCCCUGAAAGGCACCCAGACUGCCCUCUCUAACUUUCUGUCCCCUGGACGUAGAAUCUUUUUCUUCCAGAUCUUCCCUUAAUUGGCCUCUUCUCCGGUGUCACCUCCCAGGCUAACUUAAGUCCUUCAUCCUUCCCCUUUCCCAACCUGGGUCUCAAGAGCCACUGCCUCUGCUGUGCCUGACUACAGCCCCCAGUGCCAUGCGUGGUGCCAGAACAUACUCACAAAGAUGAGCAGCCUUGGGCUGACAUCAGGCCAAGGAGGUCUUCCCCAGCACAGGGUCUCCAGACCACCAGCCUAGACCAGUGGGUGAAGCUCCAGCUGUCGCACUUGUGCUUAAUGACAGCUAGUAGAAGGGUGGGGGGCUAGGGGUGGUGGUGGUAGUGCUGUAAGGAAGCUGGGAGCUGCAGGACUGGGACCGGGGUUGGGGGUGCACCAGGGUUACCACUGGGCAGGCCGGGCAGGUGAGUGAGGCAGCAGAAGCCAUACACCUCCCUCUGUCCUCAUGCCAGGGUCUGCCUUUCCUCCCCCGGAGUUGUAAGUGACCAGCCAUGGAGCACCAGACAUGUGAAGUCAGCCCUGUUUGGAAACCAUGUCCUGAUCAGUCUAGAGGCAUUGACUGGAAUCCAUCCACAGAAAGAGGGUUGGGAAGUUAGUAGCCUUUACAGACCCAAUAGCAGGCUCAAGAAGAUAACACACGGGCUGGGCUGGGGCUCAGCGGUAGAGCACCUGCCUGGCAUGUGUGAGGCCCUGGGUUCUGUCCUCAGCACCGCAUACAAAUAAAGGAAUAAAAUAAAAGUCUAUCAACAGCUAAAAAAAUUUUUAAAAAAGAAGGCCAAAAAAAAAAAACAAAAACAAAACUGGCAAAGAAGGCCACUUACAGUAGUACUAGUAGUAAAAUUAAAAAGUGUACAAAACCUUCCUGAGGGUGACUUUUAAAUACUGCCAAAGAAUCACAGAUCCCUGAGGAUGGAGAGAGAGCUCCGUGCUUGGACAGGGGCAUCCGGAAUUAGUGUGUUGCACUAAAAGUACUGGACUUCUGCCUCCUCCUUCAGCUCUGCAGCCUGGCCACAGAAGCACAAAUGGCCAGCAGGGCUUCCACCCUGGCUCCCAC